rnacentral:rRNA from 1 species
UACGUAGGUGGCAAGCGUUGUCCGGAUUUACUGGGCGUAAAGCGCACGUAGGCGGCUUUGUAAGUUAGAGGUGAAAGCCUGGGGCUCAACUCCAGAACUGCCUUUAAAACUGCAUCGCUUGAAUCCAGGAGAGGUGAGUGGAAUUCCGAGUGUAGAGGUGAAAUUCGUAGAUAUUCGGAAGAGCACCAGUGGCGAAGGCGGCUCACUGGACUGGUAUUGACGCUGAGGUGCGAAAGCGUGGGGAGCAAACAGG